rnacentral:rRNA from 1 species
CUACGGGUGGCAGCAGUGGGGAAUAUUGGACAAUGGGCGAAAGCCUGAUCCAGCCAUGCCGCGUGUGUGAAGAAGGCCUUCGGGUUGUAAAGCACUUUCAGUGGGGAAGAAAGCCUUGGGGCUAAUACCCUCGAGGAAGGACAUCACCCACAGAAGAAGCACCGGCUAACUCCGUGCCAGCAGCCGCGGUAAUACGGAGGGUGCGAGCGUUAAUCGGAAUUACUGGGCGUAAAGCGCGCGUAGGCGGUCUGAUAAGCCGGUUGUGAAAGCCCCGGGCUCAACCUGGGAACGGCAUCCGGAACUGUCAGGCUAGAGUGCAGGAGAGGAAGGUAGAAUUCCCGGUGUAGCGGUGAAAUGCGUAGAGAUCGGGAGGAAUACCAGUGGCGAAGGCGGCCUUCUGGACUGACACUGACGCUGAGGUGCGAAAGCGUGGGUAGCAAACAGGAUUAGAUACCCUGGUGUC